rnacentral:rRNA from 1 species
CGAAUGCUGACAUAAGUAACGAUAAAGCGGGUGAAAAGCCCGCUCGCCGGAAGACCAAGGGUUCCUGUCCAACGUUAAUCGGGGCAGGGUGAGUCGACCCCUAAGGCGAGGCCGAAAGGCGUAGUCGAUGGGAAACAGGUUAAUAUUCCUGUACUUGGUGUUACUGCGAAGGGGGGACGGAGAAGGCUAUGUUGGCCGGGCGACGGUUGUCCCGGUUUAAGCGUGUAGGCUGGUUUUCCAGGCAAAUCCGGAAAAUCAAGGCUGAGGCGUGAUGACGAGGCACUACGGUGCUGAAGCAACAAAUGCCCUGCUUCCAGGAAAAGCCUCUAAGCAUCAGGUAACAUCAAAUCGUACCCCAAACCGACACAGGUGGUCAGGUAGAGAAUACCAAGGCGCUUGAGAGAACUCGGGUGAAGGAACUAGGCAAAAUGGUGCCGUAACUUCGGGAGAAGGCACGCUGAUAU